CAGCCGCCGCGGUAAUACGGAGGGUGCAAGCGUUAAUCGGAAUUACUGGGCGUAAAGCGCACGCAGGCGGUCUGUCAAGUCAGAUGUGAAAUCCCCGGGCUUAACCUGGGAACUGCAUUUGAAACUGGCAGGCUGGAGUCUUGUAGAGGGGGGUAGAAUUCCAGGUGUAGCGGUGAAAUGCGUAGAGAUCUGGAGGAAUACCGGUGGCGAAGGCGGCCCCCUGGACAAAGACUGACGCUCAGGUGCGAAAGCGUGGGGAGCAAACAGGAUUAGAUACCCCAGUAGUCCCUGUCUCUUAUAA
rnacentral:rRNA from 1 species